UACGUAGGGUGCGAGCGUUGUCCGGAAUUAUUGGGCGUAAAGAGCUCGUAGGCGGUCUGUCGCGUCGGUCGUGAAAACUUGGGGCUUAACCCUGAGCUUGCGGUCGAUACGGGCAUGACUGGAGUUCGGCAGGGGAGACUGGAAUUCCUGGUGUAGCGGUGAAAUGCGCAGAUAUCAGGAGGAACACCUGUGGCGAAAGCGGCUCACUGGACCAUAACUGACGCUGAUGCACGAAAGCUAGGGGAGCAAACAGG
rnacentral:rRNA from 1 species